AGAAGAAGAAGAAAAGGGAGGGGGGAAGGACCACUCUCUCAGGGAUUCAAGAAGCCCUCGGCCAAUUCUUCCAGCCCAUCUGCUCUUCUUCUUUUCCAACCAUCUCAAUCAUGUCCUUCAGUGCCGACCAGGUUGCCGACUACAAGGAUGCCUUCCUCCUCUUUGACAGGACAGGUGAAGGCAAGAUCGUCUUAAGCCAGGUUGGUGACAUCAUCCGUGCUCUGGGACAGAACCCUACAAAUGGUGAGAUCAAGAAGAUCCUGGGCAACCCCAGCAAGGAAGAGAUGAAUGCCAAGAAAAUUACAUUUGAAGAAUUCCUGCCCAUGAUGCAGGCAGCUGCCAACAACAAGGAACAGGGUACCUUUGAAGACUUUGUUGAAGGUCUGCGUGUCUUUGACAAGGAGGGCAAUGGCACAGUCAUGGGUGCUGAACUCCGUCAUGUACUGGCUACUCUGGGGGAGAAGAUGACGGAGGAAGAAGUAGAAGAACUGCUGAAAGGACAGGAAGACUCUAAUGGCUGCAUCAACUAUGAAGGUGCUUUGUUUAGUGGCUUUCUAUCUGCAUGCAGCCAGCGGUAAUGGGUGGUGGUUCCCAAGUGAUGAUAACUACCAGUCUCCUGCUAUACAAAUAAGGGGAGGGAGUGUUGUCCAGUGGCAGAAGAAAGGGACUGGGAGUGAGAAGUCUCUGGUUCCAGUCUCAGCUCUACAACUGACUUGUGAAAAAGUCUAGACUCUGAAGACAAGAAUGCACUUGAGAUUUGGCUCAGUAAAAUUCUUCUUCCAUCCAGCACCAUCAAUAUGGAAACCACACAGGACUGUACUAUAUGCCUCCUACCACACCAAUUCUUUUUUUAAUCAGUAGGUGUCUCCCUCUCAAUCAUACUCAUGCUUCACAAAUUGAACAUUUGAGGCAAGCUAGAUGGAAUAAAUUGUACAGGUAUCAAGCCCGUAUAGUUCUCUUUCCUUGUUUACCAUGAAGCAAUGUAUCCCCUUGAAAAAUGUGACAAUAAAUCCUGUGGUCAGUCUGUGGCUAUAAAGUCUUUCCUUUCUACCAAGCUGUUCAAAUCCCAUUCACAA